CCUUGUACACACCGCCCGUCACACCAUGGGAGUCGUUUGCUCCAGAAGUGGCUAUGCCAACCCGCCAAGGGAGGUAGGUCCCCAAGGAGUGAACGGUAACUGGGGUG
rnacentral:rRNA from 1 species